AGCCUUGGGCCAGAGUUCCAGGGGCUCUGGGAGUGGCUGCCAGGGCUUGUUUACUAAGUAAACAAGAAGAGGGCCUGGGAGGAGAGUCUGAUGAGCAAGGGGAAGGUAGCCAAGGAUGGAGUGAAAUACAAGAGACCACCAAGUUUUAGAUGAUCAUGCAACAAAGCUUCCAGCCAGUUCCAGGUGAAGACACCACCCCUGACCAUCAAGAAGCUACCCCGCCUCCACUAGACAGAGCAGGGAGAGAGUUCCGUCAUCCUUAAUAGGUAGAGACUAUGCCGCAAGCCAGCAUGAAGCAGUUACAGAAAAAAGACGAUUGGUCCCUCUGCCUCCCAUGAAGAUUUAUGGGGAUCACAUCUCUUACAGAGGAAAUGAGGCAGGAAAAUAGGGUCUGGAGGCAGGGAAUAUAAGGCAGAUUCACGCUUCAGCUAUGACAGGAAAUAUCCUCUCCAUAGGGCAGAUGCAGAGUAAAUGACUAUGUAACUUUACUUCACCCUCUUCAUUUACACAGGGCAUACACCAGCUAACCAGUGGAAUCCUCUAGAGGGUAUUUAAACUCCCAAAAAUUCUGUAACAGGG
rnacentral:lncRNA from 1 species